UGAUCCUGGCUCAGAGCGAACGUUAGCGGCGGGCUUAACACAUGCAAGUCGAGCGAGAAAGGGGCUUCGGCCCUGAGUACAGCGGCGGACGGGUGAAUAACACGUAGGUAACCUUCCUUUCAGCGGGGGACAACGGUCCGAAAGGACCGCUAAUACCGCAUACGUUCCCUGGGACCUCGGUCCUGGGGAGGAAAGGCCCGCAAGGGCCACUGGAUGAGGGGCCUGCGUAGCAUCAGCUAGUUGGUGGGGUAAUGGCCUACCAAGGCGAAGACGCUUAGCUGGUCUGAGAGGAUGAUCAGCCACACUGGGACUGAGACACGGCCCAGACUCCUACGGAGGCAGCAGUGGGGAAUAUUGGACAAUGGGCGCAAGCCUGAUCCAGCCACGCCGCGUGAGUGAUGAAGGCCUCGGUCGUAAGACUCUGUGGGGGAGGGACGGAACGGGACGCCGACUGAAGAGUGGC
rnacentral:rRNA from 1 species